GCAGAAUUCAGUGAAUCAUCGAAUCUUUGAACGCACCUUGCGCUCUUUGGUAUUCCGAGGAGCAUGCCUGUUUGAGUGUCA
rnacentral:rRNA from 1 species